GCGUGGGUUGGAUUUAUGGCAAGCCCGUCCUCCUGGGUCCCUCACAGUGCCCCCUGUCAGAGGAGACUGCGGCCUUAACCCAUCACCUGGCCUCUUGCCCAUAGGCUGCAGGCACUGAAAUGGGUUACCCAGUG